GUGUGUAAGUACAGCAAUGUAUUGAGCUAACUGAUACUAAUGAUCCGUGCGGCUUGACCAUAUAACCUCA
rnacentral:rRNA from 1 species